CUGUGAGGAGGCAGUGACGGCCGGUUGCUAGGGGAAGCCGGCUCCUGUUCACCCUCAACACGGCGGCGGCGGCGGUUCUGGCCGGGCCGGGCCGGGCCUGGGGAUCUCUCCGCGCUCUCUCGGCCUUUCUCCGGGAGGGGGGGGGUCUCAGGCCCAGCCGUGUGUGAGCUGCCGGAGCCCGGGAGGCCGCUGUGGAGUGAGGCCGCUGCCCGGCGCUGGGCUGUGAGGCGGCGUCACCAUGUGGAGAGAGCGGCCUCUGUCAUCGCUAAAUAUAAAAACACAACUGGAAGGACUGGAUGAAGAACGACAAAGAUUAUCAGAGGAACAAAAACUAAACCGAGCCAAAGUUCGUAAACUUUCUUUGCAGACAAUCAGAAGACGCAAGCCAGCGUGAUAUGGGCAGAAAGCCUUGCUAACUUCUGGGAUUCCCGUUGAGUUUUCCUGCAUCGCUUGUUCGAAAUGCCUUUCCUACCUGCGUACUAAGUUCAGGAAACAAAAACAGAAAUUACUGGAAAAAUCUCAGCCAGUCUAGCAGCAUCUGUGGAGAUAAAUCAGUUAAUGUUUCUGGUCCAGUGACUUUUCUUCAUAAUUGUCAGUUCUACUUCACAUUGCUACAUUUGCCUCCAACCCCUUUUUUUUUCAGAUUGAUACUUUAAUUUAUGAA